rnacentral:misc_RNA from 1 species
UAUUAUUAUUAUUAUUAUUAUCAUAUGCAAGUAUCAGUUUCUAUUUGGUUUGGUUUUUAUAAUCUUGAAGUUUUAUUUCCUUCAAACCAAUGUGUACGUUUUUAAGUGGUAAACUAAGCCAACUACCAAAUUUAGAUGGGUGUCUUCCAGAUUGGCAGAUUUAAUUGAAUGAUGCAUAUCCUUGAGGGUGAAAGUUUUUCUAGCGGAGGGAGGAGGCUUGCUUUUGGGCCUUGAAUUUUGAUGAAAUUUGAAAUAUUUCAAGUAGAAGGACCCUCUUUUAUUUUUGUUCCCAUGAUUAUAAGAUAUCUAUCUAUUUUAUUUGCAAAGUUCUGCCUUAUUCUCCUGAUAUUGGUUCAACUUCUGAAACGGUUGUGUUUCUUCUAGGUAGUUAAAUACAUUAUCAUAAUGGCAGGUGGUGUGCAUCACCAUCAGCAGGUUCUUAAUAUGGUGUUAGAUAUACUGGAAGAUUCAAAUCCAAAUGUUAGCUGGAGAAAUUUCAAAUGGUUCAUCUGCCAAAUCAAUUGUUAUUGCCUUAUCUUGUUUACGCUUAAGAUUUUAAAUUGAUCUUGUUAUGUAG